UACGUAGGGUGCAAGCGUUGUCCGGAAUUAUUGGGCGUAAAGAGCUCGUAGGCGGUUCGUCACGUCGGCUGUGAAAUCCCGAGGCUCAACCUCGGGUCUGCAGUCGAUACGGGCAAACUAGAGUAUUGCAGGGGAGACUGGAAUUCCUGGUGUAGCGGUGAAAUGCGCAGAUAUCAGGAGGAACACCGGUGGCGAAGGCGGGUCUCUGGGCCGAUACUGACGCUGAGGAGCGAAAGCGUGGGGAGCGAACAGG
rnacentral:rRNA from 1 species